AAAGUAGAGUACUAGUCACGUGAUCGUUCGGCGCCAUCUUGGUGUAGUGCUUUUACACUACGUAGCUGAUUAUCCACCGGAAGGGAAAAAGAAACAUCAAGGAUCAACAUAUUUGUCAAUUAAUUGUGGAUUAAACGUUCCUUUAAACUGAUAUUUUAGGAAGGAUAUGGUAGUAGUUAUUGUAAGAGGUCAACAUGGGUGAUCAACUGAAAGAAAAAGUGGUACACCCUUUUAUUGAUUUUCAACCUGAUGACUGUUGGCAGGUUAAAGAUGAUGAAAGUAAUAUUUCUCAUGAAAAUACUAUAGACUUGGGAAAUUCUAAAAACAGCAACAUAAGCUUUACUAAACAAAAUACUACUGAUAAUUUGCCCUGUUCGUCAAUUAUUAAUGGGGUACUUCUUGAUGAAUCUGAUUCUAGUAGUAGUAAACUUAAUAAGAGCAACUAUCUUCCAGGUGUGGGUGAAUUAAAGCAGAAUAACGAAGACAAUUUAGAAUGUCGGGAGACUGGCCAAUCAAACAACUGUAGCACUUCACAAAAUACUAUGGAAGAUUUAAGAGUAGAGAGUGAACAGUUUUUGCAGAAACUGUCAGUUGUAGCCGAUGAAUUAAAGGAAUCUUCCUCUAAUUAUGAUGUUAAAAACUUGGCACCAAAUAAACAAUUGCAUGAUGAGGGGAAAAGUAUUUGUGUUGUAUCUGGAAGUGUAAAAAAUGACUUUGACAAUAAAACUGAAAAUGGUAAAUGUUGCAAAACUACAGAAAGCACAUCAAAAUCUAUCAAUUCUCAGAAACUUGGACAUAGCCAAGUUACUGAAGGUACUUACUGUAGUAGCAAUAAUUUAAAAAAUAGUAAUUUAUCAGAAAGUGAACCUUUGUUAAAGGCCAAAAAUGAUGAGUGCUUAACAAAAAAUUAUAAAAAUGAGUCACAACAAAGUCAAAAUGAAAAUAACAUUGAAAAGGAGCAGAGCUUUGCACAUGAAAUCACAGGCUGUGAUGCUAAUAUAAAAGUUGCUUCACUCCAAGAAGAUAAUCUCAAUAAUAAAGAAACUGGGAAGGUAGAAAAAAGUAUUGAUGAUUCAAGUGACUUAUUGACUAAAGAAAAUAACAGUGUUAAACAAAAAGUAAUGGUUACUGAGUGUGAGGAGAUCAAAGGCAAUGAAGAAGAAAAAAGGGAUGAUCACAAAGAUGACAAUAGAAAGAAUCUAGCAAGCAAAGACAAUGAAUCUUUAAAUAAAGAUUCAAGUAUCAUUGAAGAAGAUAAAUUGAAAACCAAUGUCAGUACUUGUACGAACCUUCAAAAUCACAGUGAUCAAAAUGGAACAACUGUAGAAAAAGAUCUUGAUAAACAAUCUGUAGAAAAGCACUUUAUUAAUGAGAAUAAAGAAGGCAAGAUUGAGAAAUUAAUCAAACCACCAAAAGGUUUAGUAGUAAAGCCUGUAGAAGUAAAAGAUAAAAUUUCACAAAAAUCUAGUCAUCAACAUAAAACUCAGUUACCACAAUAUACAAAUGCAAAAGCUGCUGGUAAAGUCCAAGAUAGGCCAAGUGAUAAACUUGAAGUUAGUAAUCGUCUUUCCACGAAGGGUCGAGUUAAUAAGAAAACCUUUGAUGGAACUAGUGCUCGUGAUAAACAAACAAAGAAAACAGGAAAAUGCAAUGACUCUUUAACAAAUAUACCUGACAUACUGAAAUCUGGGCUUCUGAAACACCUUACCAUUUCUGUUAUUCCAUCAAGUAAAAAUGAAGAAUCCCAAAAGUCAUUAAUGCAAAAGUCUAUCCCAGAAAAGCCUCGGGAUAAGCCAAGGGAAAAGCCAAAAGAAAAACCUCCAGAGCUUCACCAAGAAAAGUAUAAAGAGCAGCCUCUGCCUCCUCUGCUAGAAAGUAUAUGUGGUAGUGUAGUUACAGAUGAAAUGGUAGAGAAGAUUCUCAAAGAAGCAGAAUUUCCUGAAAUAUUUAAAGACAAAGUAAACAUUGGGAAAUUUAUUCCUGUAAAAUUACCUGAUAGCUACAACUUCAGACUGUGUGAAGAUGAAGCAUUAUUAGAAUGUCCAUCAAUGGUGACGCCUUUGCUGCUAAAAAAGAAAGAUAAGUUUCCAACUAAAGUUACACUUCACAGUGAAAGUAACUUUAGUGAAGUAGGAAAAAAUAGGGAUGGGUUGUCUGAAUCUAUUGACAACAGUACUUCUAAAGUUAAAUCUGAGAAAAAUGUGAAUGGACUAGAGAAGGAAUCUGCAGAAAAUAAUGACAAACUAGAAAACAUGGAAAAAAUAAAAGAAAAUACAAAAGACACGCAACAGGAAUCUAUAAAGACAGUAGUUAGUGGUGAAAAAUCAGAAUUAAAACCUAAAGAGUUGGAAGAAGCCUCAAAAGGUAAAGAACCUGAACAAAGCACAGAUAAUAAUGAUACUUCUAAAAUUAAAAAUGUGGGAGAAGAAACUGAGGAUAUAUCUACAAUAUCUAAAGAGAAAACAGAAGGUCAUACUGAAAAAUUGAAACAUGCAAAUGAUACGUCUGAAACAAGUAGUAAAGAGGAAGUACAUUACAAAACUAAUACUUCUUCAUUUGACAAAGAAAACACAGUAGGUAAAACUGAGAAAUUGUUAGAGGAUACAAAAGGAACACAAAAAUCUUUUAAGUUGUCAUCUGAUGAAGAAAAAGGAAGUGAUAAAACUGAGAAAAGUAAAAAAGAUACAAAUGAAACAAGAGAAUCAUCUUCAGAAAACAAUAAAAAAGUGCAAGAAGAAAGUAAAGAACUCUUCACUAGUAGUGCUGUUGGUUUUCUCACUGCCAUAGGUUUAAGUCGAGUUCAAGAGUGGCAUAAAAAAGAUUUAUUGAGGUCUAAAGAACGGCAAAUACGCAGAGAAGGAAAAACAAAACAAUUAGAAAAUGAAUCUCUGAUCAUGAAAAUGGCCUAUUUACAGGCUAAAAAGGCCAAUGAACCAUUUGUUUUUGGAAAUCAUAAGUGUGACAAAUGUGAGUUUAAAUCAGAAUCUUCCAUUGUGAUGGAUGGUCACUCUGCAGUACCCUUUGUGACACCACGUAGGGAAUUUGGGUGUCAUCUCUGUGACUUUUGCACAAGAGACCCAAAAGCAAUUCUUUUUCACAUGGAAGCUGAACAUAAAAAGUUGGGUCAGCUCCCAGCUCCUUCUCAUUUUCAUGAGUGCCCCUUUUGUCCAUUUGAUACAAAUCAGAAACAGAAGUUAAACAGUCAUAUGAAUAGAUGUCAGAAGUUUUUUGUUUUGGGUAGAAAUCAGGCCACAGAACUUGAAAUUUCAGCACAAACAGCAAAGCCUAUAACUCUGAUGGAUAUUAAGACAUACUUGUAUGAACGACAACUUGUAGAGAUGGCUUCAGCAACAAUGAGACGACCAGGUUGUCCAUCAGGUUCUAGAGGGGGUCACAGAAAGCAGUCUCCAAGACAGCAGGGUAAUGUUCCCAGAUCUCUUGCUCCUGUUGGAGUGUUACCAUACAAUCGACCAAUGUACCAACACCUAGCAGAUAAUGCAGUUCUACAGUCCAAAUCACAAAUUAGGGCUUUCAACAGAACCUCUGCUGGUUCUAGUAAUAACAAGACUACCAAUACACGUGUAACUUCAUCAUCUAGACAGGUUCCACUGACUGUUCCCACCAGUCAGAUUUAUAAAGUGGUUGAGGGUGGCAAGGUUCUUCCAAUGAUCACCACCACUAACUCAGCCAUUAGUUGCAAACCAGUCACCCAAGUAUCUAAUGCGCAUGAUUCAGGUCCUCAGCCAGUUGCCCUCUUUACAAAUGUAGCAGCAGGGGGUACUCAUAUGCCUACUAACAACACCAAAAGCCUGUUGAAGGCAGGUAUGCCACCACCACCUCGACUGCAAGGACCCUUUCUCCCCAGUACUGGAAAUUCAGCACCAGGAGAAACAAUACUACCCAGUAACAGUUUUGUGAUCUGUGAAAUUUGUGACGGUUAUAUCAAAGAUCAAGAACAAUUACGAAAUCACAUGCAGUUGAUUCACAAAGUGAAAAUCCAUCCAAAAAUGCUUCAGAACAGACCUCCUCUUAACUGCCAAAAGUGUCAGUGGCGGUUCUUUACAGACCAGGGGCUUGAGCGACAUUUGCUAGGGUCCCAUGGACUGGUGACUUCUAACAUGCAAGAGUUAGCACAGAAGAACCAGGACGCAGGUCGAUGUACUAUCUGUGGACUGGUGUAUGCGUGUAAAUUAGUUGCUCAUAUGAAUCAGGUUCACAAGAUAACACUAAAACCUGCACAUCUGUCAUACAAGUGCACAGUUUGUACAGCAACGUUUAAUUUGUACAAACUCUUUGAAAAUCAUGUUUAUGUAGUUCACAGUGGAUCUGUCAAAAGACACGCUGAUGAUAUAUCCAGUAACCAGCCUACUAAGAAGCAUGCUGGAGACAAGAACACCAAGAUGGGAACUCCAAAGAUUACUCCAAGAUCUAGGUCUAGGAAGCCAGCGAUGCCAGUCAAGAUGGGAGCAGAGUGUGGAAAAACAAGGGACGAUACAUCAGUUUCAACCCAAGGAAAUACCCCGAAAGAAGAUGGCCAUGCCAAGCAGAAGUGUGGAAUAGAGACACUGGGCUGUCGAAGGAGUCCCCGAAGAAGGAACAUACCUGUGGAGUGACGGAGGGAGGAGCUGAAAAUGCUGACUGUUUAUUGUGAUAGGAGUGAAUGUAGAUGACAGACACUGUUAAUGACCUUCAGACUGUUUUCUUUGUUCCCACCUGUAUAACUCCAAACUUCAUUAAAAGAACCAGUCAACUGACCAGAUUCAAAGGCACAUUGUAUUUAUUUAACCUGUCAGGAAUGGCAUAACCAGACCUACUUGCAGAGAUCAAGUAAGGAAGCACCAUCUGGUUCUCCAUCAACAUUUAGUAGUAGUAUUUGUGUAGCCAGAA
rnacentral:misc_RNA from 1 species